rnacentral:rRNA from 1 species
CCCCUAGAUGUUCUGGGCCGCACGCGCGCUACACUGAACAGUUCAACAAGUCUUAACCUUGGCCGAUAGGUCUGGGUAAUCUUUGAACGCUGUUCGUGAUUGGGAUAGACCUUUGCAAUUAUGGGUCUUCAACGAGGAAUUCCUAGUAAACGCAAGUCAUCAGCUUGCAUUGAUUACGUCCCUUCCCUUUGUACACACCGCCCGUCGCACCUACCGAUUGAAUGGUCCGGUGAAAUCUCGGGACGGCGGCUUGGUCGCUUGCGUCCGACUGCUGAAACUUGAUUAAACCAUAUCAUUUAGAGGAAGGUGAAGUCGUAACA